UUCCUACGGGAGGCAGCAGUGGGGAAUCUUGCGCAAUGGGCGAAAGCCUGACGCAGCCAUGCCGCGUGAAUGAUGAAGGUCUUAGGAUUGUAAAAUUCUUUCACCGGGGACGAUAAUGACGGUACCCGGAGAAGAAGCCCCGGCUAACUUCGUGCCAGCAGCCGCGG
rnacentral:rRNA from 2 species